rnacentral:rRNA from 1 species
AGAGUUUGAUCAUGGCUCAGGAUGAACGCUAGCGGCAGGCUUAACACAUGCAAGUCGAGGGGCAUCGCGGGUGGCAACACCUGGCGGCGACCGGCGAACGGGUGAGUAACGCGUGAGCAACAUGUCCUCAGUCGGGGGAUAAGCGAGGGAAACUUCGUCUAAUACCCCAUAACACUUUCAGGCGCAUGCCUUUAAGUUGAAAGCUUUUUUUGCGACUUUGGUUUGGCUCGCGUGACAUUAGCUAGUCGGUGGGGUAACGGCUCACCGAGGCUACGAUGUCUAGGGGUUCUGAGAGGAAGGCCCCCCACAUUGGGACUGGGACACGGCCCAAACUCCUACGGGAGGCAGCAGUGAGGAAUAUUGGUCAAUGGACGGAAGUCUGAACCAGCCAUGCCGCGUGAAGGAAGACUGCCCUAUGGGUUGUAAACUUCUUUUGCAGCAGAGCAAUAAGGCGUACGUGUACGCCGAUGAGAGUAUGUUGCGAAUAAGCAUCGGCUAACUCCGUGCCAGCAGCCGCGGUAAUACGGAGGAUGCGAGCGUUAUCCGGAUUUAUUGGGUUUAAAGGGUGCGUAGGCUGUUUUGUAAGUCAGCGGUGAAAGACCGGGGCCCAACUCCGGAAGUGCCGUUGAUACUGCAUUGCUAGAGUUCCCCUGCCGUGGGAGGAAUGAGUGGUGUAGCGGUGAAAUGCAUAGAUAUCACUCAGAACACCGAUUGCGAAGGCAUCUCACGAAGAGGCAACUGACGCUGAGGCACGAAAGCGUGGGGAUCAAACAGGAUUAGAUACCCUGGUAGUCCACGCUGUAAACGAUGAUGACUAGCUGCCGGCGAUACACUGUCGGUGGCCCAGCGAAAGCGAUAAGUCAUCCACCUGGGGAGUACGACCGCA